rnacentral:rRNA from 1 species
CCUACGGGAGGCAGCAGUGAGGAAUAUUGGUCAAUGGACGAGAGUCUGAACCAGCCAAGUAGCGUGAAGGAUGACUGCCCUAUGGGUUGUAAACUUCUUUUAUAUGGGAAUAAAAUGUUCCACGUGUGGGAUUUUGUAUGUACCAUAUGAAUAAGGAUCGGCUAACUCCGUGCCAGCAGCCGCGGUAAUACGGAGGAUCCGAGCGUUAUCCGGAUUUAUUGGGUUUAAAGGGAGCGUAGGUGGAUUGUUAAGUCAGUUGUGAAAGUUUGCGGCUCAACCGUAAAAUUGCAGUUGAACAUGGCAGUCUUGAGUACAGUAGAGGUGGGCGGAAUGCGUGGUGUAGCGGUGAAAUGCUUAGAUAUCACGAAGAACUCCGAUUGCGAAGGCAGUUCACUGGACUGCAACUGACACUGAGGCUCGAAAGUGUGGGUAUCAAACAGGAUUAGAUACCCGUGUAGUC